rnacentral:rRNA from 1 species
GAGUUUGAUCCUGGCUCMKAACGAACGCUGGCGGCGUGCUUAACACAUGCAAGUCRAACGUGAUCCGGAGCUUGCUCCGGUGAAAGUGGCGCACGGGUGAGUAACGCGUGGAUAAUCUGCCCUGGUAUCUGGGAUAACAUCUCGAAAGGGGUGCUAAUACCGGAUAAGCCUACGGACUCUUCGGAGUCUGCAGGAAAAGGUGGCCUCUAUUUAUAAGCUACCGUAUCAGGAUGAGUCCGCGUACCAUUAGCUAGUUGGUGGGGUAAUGGCCCACCAAGGCUACGAUGGUUAGCUGGUCUGARAGGAUGAUCAGCCACACUGGAACUGAGACACGGUCCAGACUCCUACGGGAGGCAGCAGUGGGGAAUUUUGCGCAAUGGGGGAAACCCUGACGCAGCAACGCCGCGUGAGUGAUGAAGGCUUUCGGGUCGUAAGGCUCUGUCAGAGGGAAGAAAUGAGUCUGGCUAAUAUCCAGAUUUCUUGACGGUACCCUCAAAGGAAGCACCGGCUAGCUCCGUGCCAGCAGCCGCGGUAAUAC